rnacentral:rRNA from 1 species
AUUCCAAUCGAACUCGGAGAUAGCUGGUUCUCCCCGAAAUAGCUUUAGGGCUAGCCUCAUAUUAGAUACCCGGAGGUAAAGCACUGAAUGGCCUAGCGCCCGAGAGGGUAGCGAAGCCUAUCAAACUAAGAAUGCCGGAGUAUUGAUGUAUGGGAGUCAGACAGUGUGAGAUAAAUCUCAUUGUCAAAAGGGAAACAGCCCAGAUCUACAGCUAAGGUCCCAAAUUGUAUCUAAGUGGAAAACGAUGUGGAAAUACGCAGACAACCAGGAUGUUGGCUCAGAAGCAGCCACUCAUUUAAAGAGUGCGUAAUAGCUCACUGGUCGAGCGUCUCUGCGCGGAAAAUUUAACGGGGCUAAGAUACAAACCGAAGCUUAGGCUGCACGUAAGUGCGGGGUAGGGGAGCGUUGUGUAAGCGGAGAAACAGUAGCGAAAGCGGCUGUGGAGUUUACAGAAGUGAGAAUGCCGGAAUGAGUAGCGCGAAUGUGGUGAGAAUCCACAUGGCCGGAAACCUCAGGUUUUUGGAGGAAGGUUCGUCCGCUCCAAGUUAGGCGGGAGCUAAGGUCAGGCCGAAAGGCGUAGCCGAUGCACAGACGGUAGAGAUUCCGUCCCCACCGAAAGAUUUAAGCACAGGGACACUUUUUGAAGGUCGGAGCCAGGUGUUGGUUCUGGUAGUGAUCGAGGGAAAUUUAGUACCGAAGUCUGGCUGGAUAAGAGGCGAGAAAAGCUGUGUGUAUAUCUAAGGUGCCCGUACCGCAAACCGACACAGGUAGGUAGGAAGAAGAUUCUAAGGCCAACGGGAGAAGGGUUGUUAAGGAACUCGGCAAGUUGACCCCGUAACUUCGGAAUAAGGGGUGCUCACGAGAGUGAGCCGCAGAGAAUAGGCCCAGGCAACUGUUUACCAAAAACACAGGUUUGUGCUAAAUCGAAAGAUGACGUAUACGAGCUGACGCCUGCCCGGUGCUGGAAGGUUAAAAGGAGAUGUGCAAGCAUUGAAUUGAAGCCCCAGUGAACGGCGGCCGUAACUAUAACGGUCCUAAGGUAGCGAAAUUCCUUGUCAGGUAAGUUCUGACCCGCAUGAAAGGCGUAAUGAUCUGGGCACUGUCUCAACAGCCCGCCCGGCGAAAUUGUAGUACCGGUGAAGAUGCCGGUUACCCGCGACAAGACGGAAAGACCCCAUGGAGCUUUACUGUAGCCUGAUAUUGGGUUUCGGUGUUGCAUGCACAGGAUAGAUGGGACGCUGGGAAAGAAGCGCUUUGGCGUUUCCGGAGCGGACGUUGGGAUACCAUCCUUGCGACAUUGGAAUUCUAACCUGCGCCUCUGAAUCGAGGCGGGGGACAUUGUCAGGUGGGCAGUUUGACUGGGGCGGUCGCCUCCUAAAAAGUAGCGGAGGCGUUCAAAGGUUCGUUCGAUCUGGACGGAAACCAGAUGAUUGAGUGCAAACGCAUAAACGAGCCUGACUGCGAGACUGACGGGUCGAGCAGAGACGAAAGUCGGAGUUAGUGAUCCGGUGGUAUGUGAGUGGAAAUGCCAUCGCUCAACGGAUAAAAGUUACCCUGGGGAUAACAGGCUGAUCUCCCCCAAGAGUCCACAUCGACGGGGAGGUUUGGCACCUCGAUGUCGGCUCAUCGCAUCCUGGGGCUGUAUUCGGUCCCAAGGGUUUGGCUGUUCGCCAAUUAAAGCGGUACGCGAGCUGGGUUCAGAACGUCGUGAGACAGUUCGGUCCCUAU